GGCAAUGUUGCGGUGGAUGAAAGCUUCACCGGGGCCCAAGCCUGUGAUUUGCUCGGCAGGGAUGCGGCUGUCGCUGCAGCCAAUCCAUAGGUAGUCUGGAUUCUGGCCAGUCUGGAGCUUCUCGAAGAAAUGCGGGUCCUUCGCGGCCUUUUCUGCUGCCCAUUUCUUGUUGUUCUCGAAGAUGCGUUCGUGAGAUUGCUUGAGAUACUUGGAGACCUCGGUAGGCGCCAUGAAGUUUAUUGUCCGGUGGGUUGCACAGGGGUGAGUGAGAAACGAAUUAGGUUUGCCAAAAUGAAGGUUCCGGCGCCAGCGAAGGUUGGGGUUGAGAAUGGUUCGUGUACUUGUGGGGGCGACUGCACAAUGGACCCGAAGACCUGACAACUUGGAUAAAUGGCGCCGCUGAAACAUUUAUUUGAGGAGGAUGAAGGGCUGAGCGAAUUAGGCCUCGAAAAAUUGGCAUUCGCAGAAGUGAGGGGAAAAGGCAAAAGAGAAAACGGAGCGUUUUUGAUUUUUGAUGUUGGUUGGGCCGUCGAAAAUGGCAAAGCGCGGCACAUGAUCUAGUGCUGAUGAUGAUGUCAUCAUAACCAGACUGUUUGUAACUACGG
rnacentral:sRNA from 1 species